rnacentral:rRNA from 1 species
GAUGAACGCUGGCGGCGUGGAUAAGGCAUGCAAGUCGAACGAACCUUGUUGUUUGAUGAGUGGAACAAGUAGCAAUACAAGUAAAGCUCUGAUAACAACGCUGGUUAGUGGCGAACGAGGUAGUAAUACAUAGGAAUGUACCCUGAAGUCGUGAAUAAUUCAUCGAAAGGUGAACUAAUACACGAUAGUCUCUCUGGAGUAAAGAUUUAUCGCUUCAGGAACAGCCUAUGAGGUAUCAGCUAGUUGGUAGUGUAAUGGACUACCAAGGCUAUGACGCCUAGGGGAGGUGAGAGCCUGACCCCCACCGAUGGGACUGAGACACGGCCCAUACACCUACGGGUGGCUGCAGUCGAGAAUCUUCCGCAAUGGACGAAAGUCUGACGGAGCGACGCCGCGUGAUCGAUGAAGCUCUUCGGAGUGUAAAGGUCUUUUAUGAGGGAAGAAAUUUUUGACGGUACCUCAUGAAUAAGGGGCUCCUAAUCUCGUGCCAGCAGGAGCGGUAAUACGAGAGCCCCAAGCGUUAUCCGAAAUUACUGGGCGUAAAGAGUGCGUAGGUGGUUGUAUUAGUCUUUCGUUAAAUCUCCGGGCUUAACCUGGAAACCGCGAAAGAAACGGUACGACUAGAGAGUGUGAGAGGUGUACGGAACUCUAGGUGUAGGGGUGAAAUCCGUUGAUAUCUAGGGGAACACCAAAAGCGAAGGCGGUACACUGGCACAUAUCUGACACUCAAGCACGAAAGCGUGGGUAGCGAAUGGGAUUAGAUACCCCAGUAGUCCACGCCCUAAACGAUGAUCUCUAGCUUUUCGGAGUAUCGACCCUCUGAGAGGCGUAGCUAACGCGUUAAGAGAUCCGCCUGGGAAGUACGGCCGCAAGGCUAAAACUCAAAGGAAUAGACGGGGACUUGCACAAGCAGUGGAUUAUGUGGUUUAAUUCGACGGUAAACGAAGAACCUUACCCGGGUUUGACACCUAGCUGAAAGCUCUAAGAAACUAGAGCCCUCGCAAGACUGUUAGGCAGGUGAUGCAUGGCCGUCGUCAGUUCGUGGUUUGAAUUGUUCCCUUAAGUGGGGCAACG